rnacentral:rRNA from 1 species
AGGACGAACGCUGGCGGCGUGCUUAACACAUGCAAGUCGAGCGGAAAGGCCCUUCGGGGUACUCGAGCGGCGAACGGGUGAGUAACACGUGAGCAACCUGCCCUUAGCUCCGGGAUAGCUCCGGGAAACCGGAAUUAAUACCGGAUACGACCACGGCCGACAUCUGCUGUGGUGGAAAGGAUUCCGGCUAAGGAUGGGCUCGCGGCCUAUCAGCUAGUUGGUGGGGUAAUGGCCCACCAAGGCGACGACGGGUAGCCGGCCUGAGAGGGCGACCGGCCACACUGGGACUGAGACACGGCCCAGACUCCUACGGGAGGCAGCAGUGGGGAAUAUUGCGCAAUGGGCGAAAGCCUGACGCAGCGACGCCGCGUGGGGAUGAAGGCCUUCGGGUUGUAAACCCUUCAGCAGGACGAAGCGAAAGUGACGGUACCUGCAGAAGAAGCGCCGGCUAACUACGCGCCAGCAGCCGC